rnacentral:lncRNA from 1 species
UAAAAUUCUUGAAAAAGUAGACAAAUCAGAUGAGUGAAAAUGGCAAGUUUCAGAAUUGAAAAAUCUCCAACUACAAGUCUUCUUUCUUCUGUCUUCGUGAAAUCAUAGCAAAAAUUAUUCAUACCCUCUCCCUCUUUUCCUUCGCCAUCUCUCUCUACUGCCGCUAGUCACCACCAUCGCCUGCAACUUUGUCUUCAAAGAUUCUUCCACAACAAUAGCCGCAAAAUCCAAAUUCACCUAAAAAUCCAAGAAAAAAUUUCAUGAAUUUGAUAAGCGUCCACCAUAAAAUUCUUGCAAAAGUAGACAAAUUAGAUAAGUGAAAAUGGAAAGUUUCAGAAAUGAAAAAUCUCCAACUACAAGUCCUCUUCUUCUUUCUCCCUGAAAUCAUAGCAAAAAUGAGACCCCCCUAUAGGAUUCCUCUGCCCAAUUUUUGGGUCUUUGAUGGCUCAUCCUAUGGUGCCCAUUUUUCCUGUGCGGGACUAGAUCUGUAGCAAUACAUAAAAGUACAAACCAACCCACUACCUCUCAUAUUAUGGUACUCCAAAUUUGCAGGAUUUUAGACUUUGGGUGGAGAGAAUGGUGAUGUGAGUGCCCAUUUUUCCUGUGCGGGACUAGAUCUGUAGCAAUACAUAAAAGUACAAACCAACCCACUACCUCUCAUAUUAUGGUACUCCAAAUUUGCAGGAUUUUAGACUUUGGGUGGAGAGAAUGGUGAUGUGAAGUGGUGGAGGGGAUGGUAUAGAGUUCGGGUGGAGAGGGGAUGGUGGUGUGAAAUGGUGGUGCAGAGUUCUGGUGGAGGGAAUGGUGGUGUGAAGUGGUGGAGGGGAAAGGGGAGCAGGAGAGAGGAGGAAAAAAUGA